AGCCUGAUCCAGCAACGCCGCGUGAGGGAUGACGGCCUUCGGGUUGUAAACCUCUUUCAGCACAGACGAAGCGGAAGUGACGGUAUGUGCAGAAGAAGGACCGGCCAACUACGUGCCAGCAGCCGCGGUAAUACGUAGGGUCCGAGCGUUGUCCGGAAUUAUUGGGCGUAAAGGGCUCGUAGGCGGUUUGUCGCGUCGGGAGUGAAAACCAGGUGCUUAACACCUGGCCUGCUUCCGAUACGGGCAGACUAGAGGUACUCAGGGGAGAAUGGAAUUCCUGGUGUAGCGGUGAAAUGCGCAGAUAUCAGGAGGAACACCGGUGGCGAAGGCGGUUCUCUGGGAGUAUCCUGACGCUGAGGAGCGAAAGUGUGGGGAGCGAACAGGAUUAGAUACCCUGGUAGUCCACACCGUAAACGUUGGGCGCUAGGUGUGGGAUCCAUUCCACGUGUUCCGUGCCGCAGCUAACGCAUUAAGCGCCCCGCCUGGGGAGUACGGCCGCAAGGCUAAAACUCAAAGGA
rnacentral:rRNA from 1 species